GGACCUGAAGCUGAUGAAAUCAGCAGACCUGCCAAUAUCAGCAACAUCAGCGGCGCCAUAAGUGAAAAGAUUAUCAGCAGUCAAAUACAUAUAUAACUAUAUUUAGAGGUAUAUAUUAUAGAAAAAAGGCGUAGCUACUACUAAUUAGUCGCUGUUGCUAUAAAAGUCCAGACCUUGCCGUAGUACACAUAAGUAAAUCCGGCCGAAAGUUUAAAUUUAGAAACGAGGCGUGCGACUCAAUCUCUUAUCAAUGCAGUCGCGGUCAUGGUGAUCAGACUGGAACAGAGAUCGGGCAGGGAGUGUGCGCAGAGUUUAUUUUUGGCAGCAGCCGUCGCCACGACAAGAAAUCAUUCCGUAACUGACCUAGAGCACCUGAUCGAGACGUGAUCAACUAUUUGGCAGCGAGAACGGCCAAAGGAAAAGAAAA